UACGGAGGAUGCAAGCGUUAUCCGGAAUGAUUGGGCGUAAAGCGUCCGCAGGUGGCUAUGUAAGUCUGCUGUUAAAGAGUGAGGCUCAACCUCAUAAGAGCAGUGGAAACUACAUAGCUAGAGUGCGUUCGGGGCAGAGGGAAUUCCUGGUGUAGCGGUGAAAUGCGUAGAUAUCUGGAGGAACACCGGUGGCGAAGGCGGCAUCCUGGACCAAUUCUGACGCUGAGGAGCGAAAGCCAGGGGAGCAAACGGG
rnacentral:rRNA from 1 species